rnacentral:rRNA from 1 species
GCUAAACGCGAAGAACCUUACCUGGUCUUGACAUAGUAAGAACUUUCCAGAGAUGGAUUGGUGCCUUCGGGAACUCUGACACAGGUGCUGCAUGGCUGUCGUCAGCUCGUGUCGUGAGAUGUUGGGUUAAGUCCCGUAACGAGCGCAACCCUUGUCCUUAGUUACCAGCACGUUAUGGUGGGCACUCUAAGGAGACUGCCGGUGACAAACCGGAGGAAGGUGGGGGAUGACGUCAAGUCAUCAUGGCCCUUACGGCCUGGGCUACACACGUGCUACAAUGGUCGGUACAGAGGGUUGCCAAGCCGCGAGGUGGAGCUAAUCUCACAAAACCGAUCGUAGUCCGGAUCGCAGUCUACAACUCGACUGCGUGAAGUCGGAAUCGCUAGUAAUCGCGAAUCAGAAUGUCGCGGUGAAUACGUUCCCGGGUCUUGUACACACC